UGGCCCCACGCGUGUCCUUCCCUGGCUUUGU
rnacentral:piRNA from 1 species